rnacentral:rRNA from 1 species
AACGAACGCUGGCGGCAUGCCUAACACAUGCAAGUCGAACGAGACCUUCGGGUCUAGUGGCGCACGGGUGCGUAACGCGUGGGAACCUGCCCUUAGGUUCGGAAUAACUCACCGAAAGGGGUGCUAAUACCGGAUAAUGUCUUCGGACCAAAGAUUUAUCGCCUUUGGAUGGGCCCGCGUUGGAUUAGCUAGUUGGUAGGGUAAAAGCCUACCAAGGCGACGAUCCAUAGCUGGUCUGAGAGGAUGAUCAGCCACACUGGGACUGAGACACGGCCCAGACUCCUACGGGAGGCAGCAGUGGGGAAUAUUGGACAAUGGGCGAAAGCCUGAUCCAGCAAUGCCGCGUGAGUGAUGAAGGCCUUAGGGUUGUAAAGCUCUUUUACCCGGGAGGAUAAUGACAGUACCGGGAGAAUAAGCUCCGGCUAACUCCGUG